AACGAACGCUGGCGGCAUGCCUAACACAUGCAAGUCGAACGAGACCUUCGGGUCUAGUGGCGCACGGGUGCGUAACGCGUGGGAACCUGCCCUUAGGUUCGGAAUAACUCCCCGAAAGGGGUGCUAAUACCGGAUAAUGUCUUCGGACCAAAGAUUUAUCGCCUUUGGAUGGGCCCGCGUUGGAUUAGCUAGUUGGUAGGGUAAAAGCCUACCAAGGCGACGAUCCAUAGCUGGUCUGAGAGGAUGAUCAGCCACACUGGGACUGAGACACGGCCCAGACUCCUACGGGAGGCAGCAGUGGGGAAUAUUGGACAAUGGGCGAAAGCCUGAUCCAGCAAUGCCGCGUGAGUGAUGAAGGCCGUAGGGUUGUAAAGCUCUUUUACCCGGGAUGAUAAUGACAGUACCGGGAGAAUAAGCUCCGGCUAACUCC
rnacentral:rRNA from 1 species